rnacentral:lncRNA from 1 species
UCGGCCUCGUUUGCUACUCAUUCUUGUCUCCCAAGUUUCCUUCUGGUCCAAAAAAAAUCUUUGUAAAGUUUUGUGGCAUUUGAUCUUCAUCUAAUAUGGAUUUUCUACGAAGAAAAAAAACAAAAGUUAGCAAGUGGCAAUAAGCACUAUGUGAAUAAGUUAGUCCCAAAAAUGAUAUAAAGUUGCUAUAAAAUGAUCAU